rnacentral:misc_RNA from 1 species
GCAGCACCAAAAACAAAUCGCGUAACAGUAAAAGUACUCAUAGGUCAUAUACAAACAAGAAUAUUUCCACAACAAACUGAGGAUAGUGCAGGUGCAGAUGCAGAUGCAGAUGAAAUUAUAUUUCAUAUUUGCAAACUAAAGCCAAAUUAUUAAAAAAAUAUAGAAUGACCUUUUGGGAUAGUUUUUUAGAUGCCAACAGUUUAUCAUCCAAAGACUUAAUGAACCAGAAAACAAGUUAUUGUUUAAAAAAAAUGCCAAAUGGCAUUAAGAUGAAAAGACCACUUUCCAAUUUCCAUUUCAAAUAAAUAACUUCAUUUUGCAGCUCUUUUCAUGCUUUUAACUAGCAUGAU